rfam:Caenorhabditis briggsae complete genome, chrX
GAGAAGAAGGAAACUAGACAAUCUUACAUAGCUCAAAAUAAUCUGUAAGCUCGUCUUAGUUUUCCUCUCCUC